rnacentral:lncRNA from 1 species
CUACACUAAUAAACUUUUCGUCCAUCCACUUUGUCUUGCUCACUAUGCUUAGGGUUAGUGAAGAACAAAUACACUUUAGGUUCUGUUGGUGUUUUCCACCAACAGGACCCAUGCACUUGAACUCUGCCUUGUCUCUAUGAGCAGGUACACUUUGAGCAAAACACGGAGGAGUUUUAUAACUCUCAGACUCUACCAAGUGAAGGACCUGGAUCUACGAGCACAAACACACUGAGCAGGAUACUGCCAACGCCGCACUUCGAACUGCUGGGCAAACGAAGAGGUGCAGAUGUCAAGGUCCGCACCUGAAUCAAAUGACGCACCUGAAGAAUGAAUACGGUGAGAAGUCUAGUUAAGAAGACUUAAAACAUUGAACUCUCACCGAAAGGUAAGAUCAGUAGUUAUCCAUAUUUAUCCUUUCUGCAUUCCCUUUUCCCUUUAAUUAUUUACAUUCCUUAAAUAGAUUAUUAGUUACUCAUGCUAUCUUGAAAAAAAAUAAAAAUGUUAAAAACUACUAAGCCCCAUGUUAGUAUACGAGUGGCAUAAAACCCAUAAGUACCUUCACUGUGGUGGCAUAAAAAUAAAAUAAAUAUUUCUUUUCUGCUUUAUAAAAUAAAAAUAUAAAAACAGGGAGUAAUAUUUAUUGAGGAAGCUCAAUAUGAUGAAGGCUAGAUAUUUAUGCUAACACUUAAUUAGUUCCACAAGCUUUGUUGUCUAUUUGAGCUCCACAGAAUUUAAGAAUCAAGAAGACUAGCAGACAGAGGACAUUCUAAUCGCUGUCAGAAUGCUGCUGACUUUCAAAUACACCUCUGCCACCUGCUAGCUACAUCAAGAGAAAUUACGUCAAAAUUCAGCUUGGGGGAGAGCACCCCCAUUUAUCUCGCUAAGUAUUUCUACCUAUCUUUAUACUUAUAUUAUAUUAGAAUAUUAAAAUACAUAAACUAUGAAAAACCAAAUAGAGAUUUUGUGCUUAUAUAUAUCUUUUGCUUAGUGUGUUUAAUAAAUAAAUAAAGUGGCUAUUGUGGCAGAACCUCCUAAGUGUUUGGGCCCACCGACACCUGUCAUUGUCCCAAGGACCUCUGACGGUGAUGCCGGGGAUCCUCCCACUCUAGAAGUCCGAUGAGCAUCUCAGGACGCUCAUUCCACCGUUACGUGGGGCGUAUCAAACAAGCUCGUCUUGACCACCAACAGUGGUCAAUUAACGAAAAUUUCUUCUUUUCGCCCUUACAGGAUAGCAAGUGGCCACCUUAACACCAGGAUCACUCGUUGCGAAGACAUUGUAGUAUCACAGACGACACAAGACCAAAAUAAUAUUUCAGAGUAAAACAACUGAAGUACUACAUAACUUAAUUUACAAAAGGAGCAACUUAAACUUUAGCAUAGAGAUUACAAAUUUACAGACCCUGCCCAUGGGUCACGCUCACUCUUCCUCAUCGUCAACCUCGACAACGGACACACAACAGGGUCCGAAACAAGUCGGCUCCUGAGCUUCACCUGCAACAGGGGUUAUAAAACCCUAAGUACGGGAGUACUCAACAAGACUUACCUGGCGGAAAAAGAGAAGAAAUUUGGAAUGCAGGCUUGGGGUAGACAAGGGAUGGCUGAGCAAGGAGCCAAAGUGUUUUGCUAAAAAGCUUACUAAUAGUGCAUCCUUACUUUCAAGUUUUACCCGCGAAUUCCUCUCCUUAAGAGGCCGAGGAGUUCCUCGGAGACUUCCCAAGUCUCGGAUCCUACUUCCUCGAACAGAGCACCGACCUUGGGGUUCGGUUCAACGGUCGCUCCUUCGGUCACGUGCACUAUACGCAAAAUGAUGAAUGCUCAUGAUAUGCAUAUGACAAAUAUUUAAGAAGGACCGAGUUAACUACAACGGGCCUUCUUGGUGCAAUACAGACUGAACAAUAAUUAAAGUUGUUUAUCAUCUUAGUAUCUUUACCCAAGAGGUUACAUCAGUAAACUAAGAUUUCUCUUAAUUCAUAAUUAUCCUAAAUUAACUAAUUAUUAAUCCUUUUUAUUUUAAUUAAUUCUUGACUAAGUAUUCAUGACAGUAAUUAAACAUUAAUGCCAAACAAUAAUUAAAUGUCAAAGGUCAUCAAGGUUAAUGACCUCAGGUCGUCACACAAUCCCAAAAUCACUAAAACCCUAAUUUUGAGAAUUUAACUAAUUAUUAUCUAAUUAUUCUAGAAUUAUUAUUUAAUUACUAAUCAAGGGUUUAAUAAUAUUUUAUCCAAACUUUAUCCAAAUGCCACCAAAUUUUGUGUGGAGCCAGGGAAUAAUAUUCAGAGGCAUCCCACAAAUUUUGGUGAUUUUUGGACAUAUCACUAAAUUAUUAAAAUUCAUAGAAGUUUUAUUUACUAAUUAAAAGAGACAAUUUUUAUAAACAUUCAAACUACCAGAAAAUAGCACCUAAUAUUUAUCUUAUGUUCUAUCCAUUUUAUUGAAUCUAUACAAAAAUUUCCAUUAUUUUUGAAUUAGUAUACAAUUUUCUACACAAUUCUACAAAUCAAGCAUUUUUAAACAAAAAGGAAAAAGGAAAAACACACUGCGCUAUGCGGCCGGCCCGCUUCGCUUUGGCCCAAGCCGGCCCGAGAACCUCCCGCGUCGCGCGCGGGCGCUGCUCGUCACAUGCGGCCACUGACGGGCGGGUCCCGCCCGUCAGAUUCUCCUUCCACCUCCUGUCGCGGCUCCGGUGAGCUCAAGCUCAUCGCCGGAGAGCUCCCGGCCUCUGCGGUAGGGUGGGCUAGCACCUUCGGCCUCUCGCGCAACCCCUGGGACACACGGGACAACCCCUACUCCCUCCUAACCCUCCUGCUCACGUCCACGGCGGACGGCGACACUAACGGCGCGAGCACCGGCCACUGCAAGCGGGUAGAACGCGAACCAACCAGCGCAUAAGCUUCAGGGGCUCACCGUGACUUCAACGGAGCAACGAGCAGCGAUGGAAAGGCUUGGAGCAGCUCUGGCCACGGUGAAGUACUUACGGCGGUGCUUCGGCCGGAGUUGAAGGAGAACGGCUCGGUUGCGGGCUAGGGGAGGCUAUAGCUCGCGACAAAGGGUCCAGGGAGUAGCUGAGCUCAAGGCGAAGCUCUGGAGGUGCUUUGGGGGCUCGGACAGGGAGUGGACAUGAUGAAUUUUGUGGGCGACGAAGUUCACCGGCGUCGGGCGCGAGAGAAAUAAACGGAGCACGUCGGCUGGUGCAGUGGCUUAUAUCACGAACGGAGGAGACGCCCAGCUUCCACGUCACCUGGCGACACUGGCAGGCAAGCAGGCUGUGUGCAUGCACGCAUGCGCACGGCGCUGCCCGCGCGGCGGCUGCGCUGGACAGGGGCGCCGUGAUCCCUAUCGGAUCACUGUAGCGAGCUUUAUCCAACCCAUUUUGUGGUUUUGCAAAAUCCGCCCAAAUUUUGAACUGAAGACAAAAUUCCACCAAAAUGAAAGUUGUGCAGAAUUGUACAAGCUACAAAACUCCUUUUGGUGACCAAAGCUAAAUCUGAGUGGAAAUUGGUGAUUUUAACAAAACAGUUUGAAAUUCAAAACUCAAUUCAAGGAAAUUCCAAUUUUUGAAUUGGGGCAGAUCAGAAUUUCCAAAAUUACUUUUGAUUUUCCAUAACAACUUGAAAAACUCCCAACAUGAAAGUUGUUCAACUUUUUGGGAUCUACAACUUUCAUGUUGGCCACUUUUCAAAAUUCCAAAUAUAUUUUGAAUUGGAGAUUCAAAUUGGAAAAGGGGACAGUUUCUGGAAAUCUUUAUUUUCAAAAUUACUUUGAAUUUUGUAUUGAAACUUCAAAAACUCAAAACACUAAAGUUGUACAUCUUGACAAGAUCUACAACUUUUCUUUUGAGCUCAACUUCAAAUUUUGCUUAGUUUUUAAAUUGCACAAAAGAGGGCAAUUCUAGGGUUCUAAAAUCAGGGUUUUUCCCCCCCUAAUCUCUCGGAAAUCUUUCACCCUAGGGAUUAAACAACCAACACAAGCAUCACUUCUCAACAUAAGCACACUUUACUUUCCUAAGCACAAGCAUUCAAAAUAAACUUGUUUUAAUUUGAUGCAUAAUAAUGUGCUUAACAAAUAUGCAAUGCAAUGCUCAUGAUGACAUGAUCCAGUUUUAGUAACCGUAACAUCGGGGAUGUUACAGCCCUUCCCCCUUAAAGAAAUCUCGUCCCCGAGAUUUAAAGCCUUAGGGUAUGUAAUGGAAAAGGAAAUUUGUCAAACUAUUUCACUUUCAACAUUUUCAUAAUACAAGGAGCUAGGGAAGACUACUCAAUUAUAAACAUAUAUGUACAUCAAGUACAUGGCUUUGGCUACUCUUUUUUUCCUGCAUUCGAUUACACUUUCUAUUUAUUGGAUGUUGUCUUGAAGAGAAGCAUGGAACUCAGGAAAAUUCUCUAUUAGAUAAUCUUCAGAUUCCCAUGUGGUAGUUGUUCUUCGAGUAACCCUAUCCUUGCGAUCCAAUACUCGGAUAGGAUAUUCCGCAUAGGUCAGAUCUGGUUCAAGUUCCACCUCUUCGAUAUCUUGAACUUGGUCUGGUACUCGAAGACACUUUUUCAAUUGAGACACAUGAAAUACAUUGUGUAUCCCGGAUAAUCAUUCGGGCAGUUUAAGGCGGUAAGCUACCUGUCCACAUCGGUCAAUGAUUGGAAAUGGACCAAUGUAACGGGGCGCUAACUUGCCUUUAGUGCCAAAAUGAUUUAUUCCUUUCAUUGGGGAUACUUUCAGAUACACAUGGUCACCUUUGGCGAACUUUAAGGGUCGACGUCUUUUAUCGGCAUAACUUUUCUGUCGGGACUGAGCAAUCUUCAAGUUAUUUUGGAUUUGUCUGACUUUGUUCUCAGUUUCUUUCACUAAGUCAACCCCGAAGAACCAUCUUUCUCCGGGUUCCGACCAGUGUAACGGAGUUCGACAUCGACGGCCAUAUAGUGCCUCGAAGGGAGCCAUCAUAAUACUUUCUUGGUUGCUAUUGUUGUAGGAAAACUCUGCUAGAGGCAGGCAGUCAUCCCACUUAUCUGGAAAAUUCAGGGCACAAGAUCUUAAUAGAUCUUCUAGGGUUUGAUUCACCCUCUCUGUUUGCCCACCUAUUUGAGGGUGCUAGGCGGUACUGUAUAAAAGCUUGGUGCCCAAAGAUUCAUGUAAGCAUUUCCAGAACUGGGAGACAAAUUGGGUGCCUCUAUCUGACACUAUUGUCUUUGGCACCCCAUGCAGACUUAGUAUACGAUCAAAAUAGAUCUGAGCAUAGGUGGAAGUAUGAUACGAUGUCUUUACAGGUAAGAAGUGUGCUGUUUUGGUGAGACGAUCCACAAUGACCCAAAUAGAAUCAAAGCCUUUGGCCGUCUUGGGCAAUCCUACUAUGAAAUCCAUACUAAUAUCAUCCCAUUUCCAUGCUGGAAUAGGCAAGGGUUGCAACUCUCCAGCGGAUUUGAGAUGAACAGCUUUGACCUUUCGACAUGUGUCGCAUUGGGCCACAUAGCGAGCUAUUUCUAUCUUCAUUUUCGUCCACCAAAACCUUUGCUUCAGGUCCUGAUACAUUUUAUUGCUCCCGGGGUAGAAUAUCUUGUGGUAUGACCUUCAUCCAGGAUUUGCUGACGUAGCUCAGGUACCUUUGGAACCACUAACCGGUUUUUGAACCAGAUUACUCCUGCAUCAUCCACCUUAAAGUCUGUGGGUGCUCUAUUAAAAAUUUUCUCUUUCAGAUAUUUCAUGCCUUUGUCUUCUUUUUGUGCCUAUAUGAUUUGAGCUUCGAGAUUAAAAUCAAUCUUUAGAUUGGCAAGGCUUCCUUGGGAAAUCAUUUCUAUCCCCCAGUUCUCUAGCUCUUGGCAUAAAGUUAUAUCUUUGGGCGUCACGGUUAAGCAAUUACAGUGAGCCUUACGACUGAGGGCAUCAGCUACUACGUUCGCUUUGCCAGGGUGAUAAUGCACCUCAAGGUCGUAAUCUUUGAUCAAUUCUAGCCACCUUCGCUGGCGCAUAUUAAGUUCAGCUUGAGUGAAGAUAUACUUCAAGCUCUUGUGAUCUGUGUAUAGAUGACAAGUGUUCCCCAACAGAUAAUGGCGCGAGAUCUUUAGUGCAUGUACUACGGCGGCUAGUUCAAGAUCAUGGGUUGGGUAAUUCUCUUCAUGUGGUUUAAGCUGCCUGGAAGCAUAUGCAAUUACUCGACCCUCCUGCAUUAGCACACAGCCUAUCCCUAUUCCUGAUGCGUCACAAUACACAUCAAAGGGCUUUUCAAUAUCUGGCUGGGCUAAGACAGGUGCAGUUGUCAAUAAUCUUUUCAGAGUCUGGAAGGCUUGCUCACAUUCAGGUGACCAAACAAAUUUUGUUUGAUUCUUGAGCAAGGUCAUGAUUGGUUUAGCGACUCUGGAAAUGUCCGGGAUAAAGCGACGGUAAUAUUCCGCCAUACCCAGAAAACUACGGACCUCAUGUACCGUAGUCGGGGGCUUCCAAUUCAACACAUCUUCUACUUUACCUGGGUCUACAGCGACUCCCUCCGCUGAUAAUACAUGCCCCAGGAAAUGGACUUUGUCCAGCCAGAACUCACAUUUGCUGAACUUGGCAUAUAGCUGAUGUUCCCUGAGGCGGGUCAGCACAAUUCUCAAAUGUUCAGCAUGUUCUUUCUUAGUUUUGGAAUAGAUCAGAAUGUCAUCAAUGAAGAUGACCACGAAUUUGUCCAGCUCUGGCAUGAAGACAGAGUUCAUCAAGUACAUGAAAUGGGCCGGUGCAUUGGUCAACCCAAAAGACAUCACCAAGUUUUCAUACAGCCCAUAACGGGUUGUAAAAGCCGUUUUGGGUACAUCCUCCGGCCUAAUUUUGAUUUGAUGGUACCCUGAUCUCAAAUCAAUCUUUGAGAAUACUUUAGCCCCGGCCAACUGGUCAAAUAGCAAGUCAAACGGGGCAAUGGGUACUUGUUCUUAAUCGUCACCUCAUUCAGGGGACGAUAAUCAACACACAGCCUUAAUGUUUGAUCUUUCUUUUUCACAAAUAAGGCUGGGCAACCCCAUGGAGAGGAACUGGGCUGAAUAAAACCUUUCUGCAACAGCUCUUGUAGUUGGGUUUUUAAUUCGGCCAGUUCUUUUGGUGCCAUUCGGUAGGCCCUUCGAGAUAUUGGGGCUGUCCCUUGUUUCAAUUCUAUGCUGAACUGGACAUCCCGGUCCGGUGGCAGACCUGGUAGGUCUUCAGGAAAAACGUCUGGAAAAUCCCGAACCACUGGGAUAUUUUUGACUGCAGCCACAUUAGUGGCAUGAACCUACCCAAUUGAACAUUUGGGAGUAGCUAACUGGAUUAGAAGGUAAGAAUUCUCAUUGGGCAAUGGGAUUUUAAUGGUUCGAUGCAAGGUAUCUAGCACAACCCCUCGUUGUGCCAUCCAGUUCAUGCCUAGUAUGACAUCAAUCUUCUGGUCUUUAAGAACAAUCAUGCUAGUGGGAAAACUAGCCCACCAAAUUCGAUGGGUAUCUGGUGAACCAUUUCAUUAGAACUCAGCCGUUCUCCUGGCGACUGUAUAUAAAAAUGAUCUUUUGUUUCCCCAAUGGGUAUGCCAUGCUUUAUCACGAAGGUGCGGUUGAUGAAUGUAUGAGAUGCACCAGAAUCGAAAAGCAUUAAAGCAGGAUGUUUCGCAAUAGGAAAUGUACCCAUCAUCACCGGUUCUCCUUCCGGUAUCCUCUCCACCUCUGUAUGGAAGACUUGUCCCGCUUUCUUUAUGGGUUUACCCCUUUGCACAUUUUGUCCUUUCUGAGCCCGAGUCCUGAAUUGGCUCUGCUGGGGUUGGCCAAUGGGUGGCCUUUGGAAAGUGGGGUUGGUUUGGCGGGGGUAGGGGCAUUCUUUGGAAAAAUGCCCAGGCUUACCACAAUUGAGACAGGGAUAAUUGUGGUUGGGUGGAGCAGUGGGAUGAACACCUGGGGCGUUCGGUUGGUGUGGUGCAGUGGCGAUGGCAGUAGGUCGAGGAUAUACCUGCUGCCCUGGUCUAUAUUGUGGAUGGGAAAAGGGACCACGAUAAGGUGACAGCGCUUGAAAGCGUCCGUGGCCCUGUGGAUGAUAAAUGAUUCUCUGGCGCUUUUGACCGCGACCAGAGAAGGAGGAAGAAGCGGCCUUCUUCUUGGCUUCUUUGUGCUUUCUAUUCUUUUCUUCUGAGGCGAUGGCAAUAUUUACCGCCUCGUAAAAGGUAGCAUUUUGACAGGUGGUCAUCAUGGUUUGAAGUUUGGUAUUGAGACCACGCAUGAAGCAGGCCUUCUUCUUUCUAUCCGUGUUCACAUGGUCUGUGGCAUAUUGAGAAAGAUGAUUAAAUUUUGCCACGUUCUCCAUGACACUUUUAUCGCCUUGUUGCAAGGCGAGAAAUUCUUCGGCCUUCAUGGCCAUAAGCCCUUCGGGGAUAUAGUGGGCGCGGAGCGCGUCCUUAAAUUCUGUCCAGGUGACCUGGUGUCCUGGACCUUGGAUAGCUAGAAAAUUCUCCCAGCAGGCACUCGCAGCUCCCCGAAGCUGUUGAGCUGCGAACAGGGGCUUCUGAGUUUCCGAACAUCGGAUCAGACUGAACUUGUGCUCCGUUAUUCGGAGCCAGUCAUCAGCCUCUAACGGCUCAUCAGCCUUGGUGAAUACCGGGGGCCUUGUCUCGGUAAAGUCCACGUACCGAGUUUCUCCCUCCCCAUUGUGCUGUGCUCUGAAGUUUGGGGCGGGGUGUGGUUGGCGUUGUGCUAACUCGCGCAACAAGCGUGCGUUGUCGGUGGUGGCACUCAAAAGAACAGCAAUGGCAUCAGCCAGGGAAGGUGGAGCAGGUGGAGGGUUGGGGAUGUCAUCCCCUCCCUUAGAGGAACCGGCUCCAUCAGAUCCAUGAGUACGCAUCGGCAUCUGCUACAAGAGUCAUAUGUACUUGUUACCACAUGAAUUCAUAACUUAGAACAUAUCUUACAUACUUCCAUUUAUUUAUCAAACAUCAGUUCAACACACUGGAAAUAAACAAGUACAACUUUUAAAAGAAAAGACACUAUACUACAAACCCGACCCCACUACGGUAAACUAGGAAUCCUACAACGACGUUGCCCGCGACUUCACCGAACUAGUCGGUGUGGCCAGAGCUGUAGCCCUGGUCGUCAUUGCCAUCGUCCUGAUUACCCCCCGGGUUAUCAUCACCGGAGUCAGAUUCCUCCUCGUCACUGAGGUCUUGGUCGGGUUCCCCAGCAUCCGCCAACUCUCCAUCCGUAUCCAUCUCCCCUUCACCUGGAGGUGGAUGGAGCUGAUGAUAUAGGUCGAAUGCAAUAUCAUGGUAUUGCAUUGCCAAGUCGUUGACGGUGUCUAAAUGAUGUGCCAGCUCAAGCUUCUCUAGCUGUAGCUGGUCCUCCCGCUGCCACGCGACAUCCCUUUGCACGGUGACAGUGGCCGCCAUCUUCACGUACAGAUCUUUAAGGUACUUGGUUUUGUCCAGCUUUGCCUUCAUCCUGGUCAGCUCGUGGCUGUGUGCGCUCCUGGCCUCCUCUUCUCGGGCAAUAGCGGCAUUCCUCUCCUCCACCAUACGGGACAGCAUGGCCUCGCAGUUCUCUGUGGCUUGUUUUUGUUUUAAUAAUUGAGCUUUUAGUUCACCAAUCUCCAUGACGUUGUACAUCCUUUCUCUCGUCACUUCGGUUAGCUCGGCAGACAACCUUUCCACCUCUUGCUGCGAGGGUGAACGGCUACUGCUUGCUUGAUCGCUUCGCGGGGCCAACUGGUGUUUAGGGACCCCUUUAGGACCAGUUCACUUGCGCGGGGUCUGCUUCUAACGAGCCAUCCUGUAGAGGGUAAGUUUAGAUUAGUAAGGGAGAACUUAAAGGUUAGGAAGAAUGGGAUUGAUUCAAUACAACCCAACCCAAACAAGGAGGAAGGAACUUAACCAAGUGAUAUAUCAUGAUGCAUGCACGUACUUAUGAUUCCUAUUCGCAAUUCAUAACGAUAUUACUUCAAAUUUUAACAACAUAGGGCAAUACUUUAUGUUGCUCCUCCAUACCACUUCAAAAAUUCUAAGAAGGCCUACAGACAAGGGUAAGAUAAGACUAAAGCACUUGGACUCAAAAUAGGCAAGUUUAUAGUAUUGGAUCCAAAUGAGUUUUGAAGUUUUUCAAAGGAUACAGCAGUCAUCUUAGCAACGAAUGCUCUGAUACCACGCUGUGGCAGAACCUCCUAAGUGUUUGGGCCCACCGACACCUGUCAUUGUCCCAAGGACCUCUGACGGUGAUGCCGGGGAUCCCCCACUCUAGAAGUCCGAUGAGCAUCUCAGGACGCUCAUUCCACCGCUACCUGGGGCGUAUCAAACAAGCUCGUCUUGACCACCAGCAGUGGUCAAUUAACGAAAAUUUCUUCUUCUCGCCCUUACAGGAUAGCAAGUGGCCACCUUAACACCAGGAUCACUCGUUGCGAAGACAUUGCAGUAUCACAGACGACACAAGACCAAAAUAAUAUUUCAGUGUAAAACAGCGGAAGUAUUACAUAACUUAAUUUACAAAAGGAGUUCUUCCAAAUAGUAUAGUGUUAUUACAAGCCAGGUCCAGCGGAGCAACUUAAACUUUAGCACAGAGAUUACAAAUUUACAGACCCUGCCCAUGGGUCACGCUCACUCUUCCUCGUCGUCAACCUCGACGACGGUCACACAACAGGGUCCGAAACAAGUCGGCUCCUGAGCUUCACCUGCAACAGGGGUUAUGGAACCCUGAGUACGGGAGUACUCAACAAGACUUACCCGGUGGAAAAAGAGGAGAAAUCAGGAAUGCAGGCUUAGGGUAGACAAGGAGUGGCUGAGCAAGGAGCCAAAAUGUUUUGCGGAAAAGCUUACUAAUAGUGCAUCCUUACUUUCAAGUUUUACCCGCCAAUUCCUCUCCUUAAGUGGCCGAGGAGUUCGAGGACAAGCUAACUAGUUGUCUCCCACAGACAAGUCUGUGAGUUCCUAGUCCUAAAUUAAAGUGUUAUUUAUUCAACGGCCAUAGCUUCAUGUCACUCUGGGUCCGGGAAUUGGGAUCCGAACCUCAUGAGACAUUUUUCCUUCUCUCAUUUUAUCACUUAGUUGCAUAAUUAACUACGAUGAGGGUCAGUGGAUUGAGUCUCCCAAUCGGGGAGCAACGACGAUUCGAACCGCUUAGCAAUCCAGCUGGAGUUCCUAACCACCCGACAUAUGUAGAACCAAAUCGUGCAUACGUCAACCCAAAUCAAGCUCUCCCCAAAUUUGACCAGGUUCGCGGCACCCGAGAGCACAGUACUCCACCAUCCUAUAGCCGAUCUAGAUGUUUUCCGGUCAUCUCAGAUCCGUAAGGUGGGUACACACUACUCUCGCCAUCGCUCCACGCCCAGUGCGCGAGUAGCUGUUCGCGUCGAGGGAUCACAAGACCGGGCUUACGAACGGCAAGUGGCUAGUACUAUAAAUUCUCAACCCAGCGGGCCAUCAACGGACCGGUCCUUAACCGACACAGUUGGAGACACUACUUUAAGACUCCAUUCUUAAAGCAAGUCCACCGACCGGUCUCAAAUUGAAACUUCAUUGAGCAUAAGUGUAUUCCACAACAACCCUUCAAACUUUCUUAUUUGAAAGCCUAUCUAGUAGCAGGGCUAAGCAUUACUACGCAGUUUUUAAAAUAAAACAGGUGCCAAGGACAAGAUAACAAAUAUCAAGGUAGUAAAUGCAGUAAGUAGGUUAACCCAAUUCUUGACUACCUAAUGCGGCAUUUUCAAUUCAUAAGUGAUAAAAGAUUUAAAACAUUCAAGGAGGGGUUCAUGCAUCCGGGGCUUGCCUUGGUUGCAGAGCUGAGAGGGUUCCUCGGAGACUUCCCAAGUCUCGGAUCCUACUUCCUCGAAUGGAGCACCGACCUCGGGGUUCGGUUCAACGGUCGCUCCUUCGGUCACGUGCACUAUACGCAAAAUGAUGAAUGCUCAUGAUAUGCAUAUGUCAAAUAUUUAAGAAGGACCGAGUUAACUACAACGGGCCUUCUUGGUGCAAUACAGACUGAACAAUAAUUAAAGUUGUUUAUCAUCUUAGUAUCUUUACCCAAGAGGUUACAUCAGUAAACUAAGAUUUCUCUUAAUUCAUAAUUAUCCUAAAUUAACUAAUUAUUAAUCCUUUUUAUUUUAAUUAAUUCUUGAUUAAGUAUUAAUGACAGUAAUUAAACAUUAAUGCCAAACAAUAAUUAAAUGCCAAAGGUCAUUAAGGUUAAUGACCUCAGGUCGUCACACAAUCCCAAAAUCACUCAAACCCUAAUUUUGAGAAUUUAACUAAUUAUUAUCUAAUUAUUCUAGAAUUAUUAUUUAAUUACUAAUCAAGGGUUUAAUAAUAUUUUAUUCAAACAUUAUCCAAAUGCCACCAAAUUUUGUGUGGAGCCAGGGAAUAAUAUUCAGAGGCAUCCCACAAAUUUUGGUAAUUUUUGGACAUAUCACUAAAUUAUUAAAAUUCAUAGAAGUUUUAUUUACUAAUUAAAAGAGACAAUUUUUAUAAACAUUCAAACUACCAGAAAAUAGCACCUAAUAUUUUUCCUAUGUUCUAUCCAUUUUAUUGAAUCUAUACAAAAAUUUCCAUGAUUUUUGAAUUAGUAUACAAUUUUCUACACAAUUCUACAAAUCAAGCAUUUUUAAACAAAAAGGAAAAAGGAAAAACACACUGCGCUAUGCGGCCGGCCCGCUUCGCUUUGGCCCAAGCCGGCCCGAGAACCUCCCGCGUCGCGCGCGGGCGCUGCUCGUCACAUGCGGCCACUGACGGGCGGGUCCCGCCCGUCAGAUUCUCCUUCCACCUCCCGUCGCGGCUCCGGUGAGCUCAAGCUCAUCGCCGGAGAGCUCCCGGCCUCUGCGGUAGGGUGGGCUAGCACCUUCGGCCUCUCGCGCAACCCCUGGGACACACGGGACAACCCCUACUCCCUCCUAACCCUCCUGCUCACGUCCACGGCGGACGGCGACACUAACGGCGCGAGCACCGGCCACUACAAGCGGGUAGAACGCGAACCAACCAGCGCAUAAGCUUCAGGGGCUCACUGCGACUUCAACGGAGCAACGAGCGGCGAUGGAAAGGCUUAGAGCAGCUCUGGCCGCGGUGAAGUACUUGCGGCGGUGCUUCGGCCGGAGUUGAAGGAGAACGGCUCGGUUGCGGGCUAGGGGAGGCUAGAGCUCGCGACAAAGGGUCCACGGAGUAGCUGAGCUCAAGGCGAAGCUCUGGAGGUGCUUUGGGGGCUCAGACAGGGAGUGGACACGACGAAUUUUGUGGGCGGCGAAGUUCACCGGCGUCGGGCGCGAGAGAAAUAAACGGAGCACGUCGGCCGGUGGAGUGGCUUAUAUCACGAACGGAGGAGACGCCCAGCUUCGACGUCGCCUGGCGACACUGGCAGGCAAGCAGGCUGCGUGCACGCAUGCAUGCGCGCGGCGCUGCCCGCGCGGCGGCUGCGCUGGACAGGGGCGCCGUGAUCCCUAUCGGAUCACUGUAGCGAGCUUUAUCCAACCCAUUUUGUGGUUUUGCAAAAUCCGCCCAAAUUUUGAACUGAAGACAAAAUUCCACCAAAAUGAAAGUUGUGCAGAAUUUUACAAGCUACAAAACUCCUUUUGGUGACCAAAGCUAAAUCUGAGGGGAAAUUGGUGAUUUUAACAAAACAGUUUGAAAUUCAAAACUCAAUUCAAGGAAAUUCAAAUUUUUGAAUUGGGGCAGAUCAGAAUUUCCAAAAUUACUUUUGAUUUUCCAUGACAACUUGAAAAACUCCCAACAUGAAAGUUGUUCAACUUUUUGAGCUCUACAACUUUCAUGUUGGUCACUUUUCAAACUUCCAAACAGAUUUUGAAUUGGAGAUUCAAAUUGGAAAAGGGGACACUUUCAAGAAAUCUGUAUUUUCAAAAUUACUUUGAAUUUUGUAUUGAAACUUCAAAAACACCAAAGUUGUACAUCUUGACAAGAUCUACAACUUUGCUUUUGAACUCAACUUCAAAUUUUGCUUAGUUUUUAAAUUGCACAAAAGAGGGCAAUUCUAGGGUUCUAAAAUCAGGGUUUUUCCCCCCUAAUCUCUCGGAAAUCUUUCACCCUAGGGAUUAAACAACCAACACAAGCAUCACUUCUCAACAUAAGCACACUUUACUUUCCUAAGCACAAGCAUUCAAAAUAAACUUGUUUUAAUUUGAUGCAUAAUAAUGUGCUUAACAAAUAUGCAAUGCAAUGCUGAUGAUGACAUGAUCCAGUUUUAGUAACCGUAACAUCGGGGAUGUUACACCUAUGCUAAUCUGAAUCUUAAUAAUAAAACUCUAGCAUGGAUAUGAUGAAUAGUUGCUCUGCCUAAUUUGCAAAUUUGAAGUUCUCUCUCAAGUUUAGACAUAACUGUUAUAAUUUAAAGCUUGCUCUAGAUCUAAACUUGUGGGAUAAAAACUUGAUGUGAAAUCUAAGUUGUUAACGGAUAUGAUAUGGGAAGGUUGAGCUGCUGUUUAUCUGUUCCUAGAGAUGCUAGAAUUCUAGAGAAUUUUAUCUUUGAAAAAUCUUUAAAAUAUUGCAUGAUGAGUUCCUGUAUGAUAAAAGUUUAAAUUCCUACCACAGCCAUAUAUACAUGCUUGCUAGACUUUGAGCCACACAUUUACUAUUUACUGCUUAUGAGCAUUGAGUGUGGUCAAGCUGUGUAGACCCUUAGGAGCUUGUCAUGUGGUUAAAUCAAGAUUUCACUUGCACAUUCACUCAUAUAUGCUACUUCUACUCCGGAAGUACCAUCCACAUAUAUCCACUCAUUUCCAUCUCCAGAACCACCCAAAAAUAUUCUACUCCUAAUCCGGGAGAGAAUAACCAAAAAUAUUUCUAUUUUUCCUUGUGAAAUAAAUGCUCAAGUUAUCUUGCUACUACCACUUGCCAUAUUAUCUCAAGAGAUGAGUGCUCUGAAAAAAAAAUAAAAAAAUAAAAAAAUAAUAAACGAGGAAAUAAAAAGGGGCAAGUGCCCGGAACCUCGAAAGAAAGAAAAAGUGAGACGAGAGGUAAAAAUGGACAAGUGUCCGACAGUAGAAUUAGGGGUACAAGAUACCCACCUGAGAGGAAAGAAAAAGAAGAGCAUCUCAUUCUCCUCAUAAAGUUUCAAAAAGCAAGGAACGUAUGUAUCCCCUCAAAACAGCAAAAUUAGAAUUAGACUUUCACCAUUAUUAUCACCAUCAUCACCAUACACCAUUCAUCCGCCACACAUGCACAUCUUGGUUUGACUUAUUGACUUGUUUCUCUGGAUCCUUGGUUUGACUAUGCAAUAAAUGUCUUGUAAGUAUGUAUUAGCUGUCUCCCACCUAUGAGCUCCAGAUAUUAAAGCCUUAUUAGAGUUGGGUGAGAGAGAAGGCAAUGUCACUAUGCCUUAUACCACAAAUACCAUAUAUCUUGAGAGAAGGCAUAUACCAUCACUGCCUUGGUAAGGAUCCAGAAAUACCACAAAAGAGAGAUUUAGAGAGUCAUACAAGGAAUCUCUGAGUUUUAUUUGAAAAUCUGCAAAAACUCCAGAGCUAUAGCUGAUGAAGAAUUAUAGACAUAGCACUUGGCUAGACUGUUCUAUCUUUUAACUACUCAAGACAGAAGUGACGGUUACAAGUCCCAUGGUGAAAGGUAAAGUAGGUAAGUUUUAGUUCUUGACAGUUUACUCUAACUUAGAGAUGAGAUCUUAUUUAAAAGCAUGUGUACCGUCAAAUUUUUUAAGAUAUUGCAACAACUUCUGAUCCAGUGCUGAGUCUAUCCUUGCUCAGGGAUGAGCAAGAGGUAAGCUUGGGGGAGUUUGUUGACGGUCCUUAAGUAUUAAAUUUAAUUAUCAAAUAAACAAAGCAAAGGAUCCAAAUGAAAUCAACAUCUUGACUUAGGGUUUUAUCUGACAGAAUUCCAUGAGUUCUGGUGUUUGUCUAUUUCUGCAGGGGGUUAUCAGGAAAUACGGAAGAAAGGCCCACAUGUCGGGAUUACAUAGAGAUAUCAACGUACCGCGCAAUUAUUUUACAUCUAGAAGACUCCAGAAGCCACGGGAAGGAAGCGGAGGCCGAACGGAGCCAGGACCUGGGCGCCCGCCCUGCUAUAGUGGCCAAUCACGUUCAACCUCGCGGAUUAUGCUCCACCGACCUAAAGGAUCAAGAAUAACCAUUCAAUCAAUGUCGGUUUGAUUCGACGGCCAAGGUUCACUUGAGGGGACUAGAUAACCAGACCCCCUGGCCCCUGGAGGAGGCAAACCCUUGAUCAUUAUUCAUUAUUCAUAGACAGAGCAAAAGCUAGGGUUUAGAGAUGAGAGCUCUCCUCUCUUCUCUAAACUAGAGUAGAUCUAGAUAGUAGCAAGAUGGGGAGCGAAGGAGGAUUAGAGGAGAGGCCGGCC